GAAAACAGCACGCAGACAUUGAUAUAUUUUCUCUAUAUAACCCAACAUUUUGAAAUAACUGCAAAUAAAUGUUUGUAUAUUUGAAAUCAAACAAAAACCAAAUACAACAUCUGAAAUCAAACAAACAAUCAAAAAUCAUUCAAAUCAAAAUCCCUAAGCCUCAAAUAAAAUCCCCAAAACCUGAUUUCAAUAUUUGUCUAAAAAUAUAACCAUACUGUAACACUUAUCAAAUGGGAAAGGGACUCGAGUAUGAAAAUGAGGUGAUGAGGUACCAGAUCUACGGAGGAGGGACUCGGUUAAGGUUGAAAUCCUCUAGGCAUAUACAAGACAAAAACAGAUUCUGCACAAAGAUGUUAUUGUUAUCUCCGUUGGUAUAGGAUAGAGAGAUGCCUAUGGUUUUACACACAAAGACAACAUGGUCAUGCCAAAACCUGCAAACUUUGAGGGGUCCCACACUUAGAGAUGUUUUUUUUUUAAUUUUGUUUAAUUUUAAUGUACACUAAGUAUAAUAAUGUAAUACUCUUUGAUGUGAAAAAAUAAAAAAUAAACUAAAUGAGAAAUUUUAAA